rnacentral:rRNA from 1 species
AGUGAACGCUGGCGGUAGGCCUAACACAUGCAAGUCGAACGGCAGCACAGUAAGAGCUUGCUCUUACGGGUGGCGAGUAGCGGACGGGUGAGGAAUACAUCGGAAUCUACUUUUUCGUGGGGGAUAACGUAGGGAAACUUACGCUAAUACCGCAUACGACCUACGGGUGAAAGCAGGGGAUCUUCGGACCUUGCGCGAUUGAAUGAGCCGAUGUCGGAUUAGCUAGUUGGCGGGGUAAAGGCCCACCAAGGCGACGAUCCGUAGCUGGUCUGAGAGGAUGAUCAGCCACACUGGAACUGAGACACGGUCCAGACUCCUACGGGAGGCAGCAGUGGGGAAUAUUGGACAAUGGGCGCAAGCCUGAUCCAGCCAUACCGCGUGAGUGAAGAAGGCCUUCGGGUUGUAAAGCCCUUUUGUUGGGAAAGAAAAGCAGCAGGUUAAUACCCCGCUGUUCUGACGGUACCCAAAGAAUAAGCACCGGCUAACUUCGUG